rnacentral:rRNA from 1 species
UACGAAGGGGGCUAGCGUUGCUCGGAAUCACUGGGCGUAAAGCGCACGUAGGCGGAUUGUUAAGUCAGGGGUGAAAUCCUGGAGCUCAACUCCAGAACUGCCUUUGAUACUGGCGAUCUUGAGUCCGGGAGAGGUGAGUGGAACUGCGAGUGUAGAGGUGAAAUUCGUAGAUAUUCGCAAGAACACCAGUGGCGAAGGCGGCUCACUGGCCCGGUACUGACGCUG